rnacentral:rRNA from 1 species
GGUGAAAAGAGCCUGAAACCGUCACGGGGGAAGCGGAUUGCGUUGGAUUGAUGGGCGCUUGUGUGUUCAGCCUUCGGGUGCAUUGGCACAAGUGCUUAUCCGCUGUGAGUUUCUGGGGGUCGAUUUUGGACCCCUGGGGACUGAGGGCUCCCUUUUUUUUAGGUGAGGACAGCGGAGUGACGACGCGAUACGACCCGUCUUGAAACACGGACCAAGGAGUCUAGCGCGGGUGCGAGUCGGAGGGUGCAAGCCCGUGGGCGAAGUGAAAGCGAGUUUUAAAAACGAGCAGUUUGGGGCGGCAUAAGAUCGUUGAUCUUAAGACCGACCCGGAGCAGUUGCGCUGGGACCCGAAAGAUGGUGAACUAUGCCGGAGUAGGGCAAAGCCAGAGGAAACUCUGGUGGAGGCUCGUAGCGGUGCUGACGUGCAAAUCGCUCGUCGAACUUGGGUAUAGGGGCGAAAGACUAAUCGAACCAUCUAGUAGCUGGUUCCCUCCGAAGUUUCUCUCAGGAUAGCGGGCCGACAAGUUGUUUUGUGCGGUAAAGCGAAUGAUUAGCGCAUUCGGGGGCGUUUAGCCUUUGGGCGAUUCUCAAACUUUCAAUGCGCAAGGGUGCCGCUGCUUAAUUGAGCGGUACCGGUAAAAACGUCGGCCCUGUGGGCCACUUUUGGUAAGC